GUGGGAGCUGGCUUGCCUGCGAUUGCGGUGGUUCAGUCAGAAGUGCAUUGGCUGACACGCCGCAAUCGCAGGCAAGCCAGCUCCCAC
rnacentral:misc_RNA from 1 species